UCCCGUGUGGCUCAGUUGGUAGAGCAUGGUGUUUGCAAUGCCAGGGUUGUGGGUUCAAUUCCCCCUGGGGAC
rnacentral:tRNA from 1 species